UGCUAAAAUACUUAGUUGAGUUGGAUGUCUCAUUCACAAGCAUUGUGGAGUUGCCAAAUAGCAUUGUCAAUCUAAAGAGGUUGAAAGUGUUGAAGAUUGGCGGAGUUGCAUGCAAAAGUUACCUAAUGCCAUUGGGAUGAUGGAAAAACUUGAGGAAAUUUAUGGAGAGGAUUGCCGGAUGUAGAAGUGAUUCCUAAUGAUAUUAUGAGACUACCAUUCUUGCGGAUUUUGAAAUUAACAGGAACUUGUGAUAUGAAUGUACCAAAGCUUCCACAGAGUUGGGUGGCUACAAAAUCGAAGGUCAUUGAUUUGUCGUACUGCAAAACAUUGAAAGAAAUUCCUGAGCUUUCUGCAUUUUUAUCCUUAGAUAAAUUAAUUCUAAAGGGGUGUGAAAUGCUUACGAAACUUUCGACUCGUCGGAAUGCUCAAAUACUUAGUUGAGUUGGAUGUCUCAUUCACAAGCAUUGUGGAGUUGCCAAAUAGCAUUGUCAAUUUAAAGAGUUUGAAAGUGUUGAAGAUUGGCGGUAGUUGCAUGCAAAAGUUAGCUGAUGCCAUUGGGAUGAUGGAAAAACUUGAGGAAAUUUAUGGAGAGGAUUGCCGGAAUGCUAGAAGUGAUUUCUAGUGAUAUUAUGAGACUACCAUUCUUGCGGAUUUUGAAAUUAACAGGAACUUGUGUGGAGAAUGUACCAAAGCUUCCACAGAGUUCGGUGGCUACAAGAUUGAAGGUCCUUGAUCUGUCGUACUGCAGAAUGUUGAAAGAAAUUCCUGAGCUCUCUGCAUUUUUAUCCUUAGAAAAAUUAAUUCUAAAGGGGUGUGAAAUGCUUACGAAACUUUCCGACUCGAUUGGAAUGCUGAAAUACUUAGUUGAGUUGGAUGUCUCUUGCACAAGUAUUGUAGAGUUGCCAAAUAGCAUUGUGAAUCUAAAGAGCUUGGUAGUGUUGGAGAUUGGUGGCGUUGCAUGCAAAAGUUACCGAUGCCGGUGGGAUGAUGGAGAAACUUGAGUAAAUUUAUGGAGAGGGUUGCAAGAAGCUAGAAGUGAUUCCUAGUGAUAUUGUGAGAUUAACAUCCUUGCAGAUUUUGGAAUCAAUAGAGACUCGUGUGGAGAAUGUACCAAUGCUUCUAGAGAAUUUGGUUAGUCUAUGUCUAUCCUCACAUGUUUUAGAAAAAGAUUUGGAUAUCUCUAAUUUAGUGAGUAAAAAAGCUGAAAUUAUGUUUUCCCAUAACAUUGUAGAUGUUAUUGUUUAUGAGAGUAGUGUUGGUCA